rnacentral:rRNA from 1 species
GCGAACGCUGGCGGCGUGCUUAACACAUGCAAGUCGAACGGAAAGGCCUUUUCGGAGGUACUCGAGUGGCGAACGGGUGAGUAACACGUGGGUGAUCUGCCCUGCACUCUGGGAUAAGCCUGGGAAACUGGGUCUAAUACCGGAUAGGACCGCACUUUAGUGUGUGUGGUGGAAAGUUUUUUCGGUGUAGGAUGAGCCCGCGGCCUAUCAGCUUGUUGGUGGGGUAAUGGCCUACCAAGGCGGCGACGGGUAGCCGGACUGAGGGGUUGGUCGGCCACAUUGGGGGUGAGGAACCGCCCGAACCCCUCCGGGGGGCAGGGGGGGGGAAAUUUGCAAAAUGGGGGAAAGCCUGAUGCAGGAACGCCGCGGGGGGGAUGAGGGCCUUCGGGUUUUAAACUCUUUUCGCCAGGGAAGAAGCGUUUUGUGACGGUACCUGGAGAAAAAGCAGCGGCUGACUACGU